rnacentral:rRNA from 1 species
ACGCUAUCACUCCUACGGGAGGCAGCAGUGGGAAUAUUGGACAAUGGGCGAAAGCCUGAUCCAGCAAUGCCGCGUGAGUGAUGAAGGCCCUUAGGGUUGUAAAGCUCUUUUACCAGGGAUGAUAAUGACAGUACCUGGAGAAUAAGCUCCGGCUAACUCCGUGCCAGCAGCCGCGGUAAUACGGAGGGAGCUAGCGUUGUUCGGAAUUACUGGGCGUAAAGCGCGCGUAGGCGGCUACUCAAGUCAGAGGUGAAAGCCCGGGGCUCAACCCCGGAACUGCCUUUGAAACUAGGUAGCUAGAAUCUUGGAGAGGUCAGUGGAAUUCCGAGUGUAGAGGUGAAAUUCGUAGAUAUUCGGAAGAACACCAGUGGCGAAGGCGACUGACUGGACAAGUAUUGACGCUGAGGUGCGAAAGUGUGGGGAGCAAACAGGAUUAGAUACCCUGGUAG